GCGAGAGUGGCGGAACUGGCAGACGCGCCAGACUUAGGAUCUGGUGAGACUACUCGUGGGGGUUCAAAUCCCCCCUCUCGCA
rnacentral:tRNA from 1 species